AGCGUCUCGCGUGUGUUCUCAUCCACAAAAAGAUUGAAGGUAAAAGCAUUAAAUUUACGUAAGGAAGCUUCGUUCCUCGUUUGUGCGGUGUGCAAAGAUUGCACGCGAUUCCCGCUGUUCUCGGAGUGCCGAUGAAGUACGAGUCGUUCAAGGAAUCAACGAAAUGUGCGGGCGCUCGAAUGACUCCAUGGCUGACACCCGCGGCCACCUGCUACACGCCAGUGCGAAAGAAACUAAAGCACUGUGGAGGCUGCAGGGUGGCUUUGCCAGUAGGAAGGGCGGAAAUUCCUGAAGAUGUGUUCAUCCAUGUUGCAUCAGCUGCUUGGUGUUUUCAUGGCAUCUCUGCACACGUGUUGGGUUGAUCUUAAGCAGAAAACCAGAAGUGGCAGUGGUCUCCAGAAGAGACCAAGGACCCCAAGCUCUCUGUGACACAAGCAGGAAGGGCACUGUGGUGCAUUGAAAACUUGUGCCAGUAGUGCAUUACCAGUGCACUAUGCUGCUGUUUCAUCAAGGAGAAAAGAGGUGACAAGCCCCAGAGGAACUUCAUGCUCUACAGUAUGCCUACGGAGAACACCUCAAGGUGCAUCCAAGCAACGUCCUGGAGGCACAGCGCCACCGGAAUCUCAAUCGCCAUUUGGGGGACCUGCUUAAAGUCCUUAAGAAAUGAUUCCAGUGUGAGGCUUUCAAAACGGCAUGAAUAUUAAUUUAUUCAUUAUAAAGUUUUCAUUUUUAAAUUCCUGUUGUUGCACAUUGUUUUGCACCAUCUUUCCAUGGGUGAGAUACAACUCGUGAAGUGAUGGUGCAAGGUGACCUCAUUUGAACAAUCAAUUGAGGUAUGCAAAUUGACACAGCUAGAACGUGCUAUAUAAAACAAGUUUUAGUCCUUGCAGCGGGGCUGGUUUUGAAGAGCA
rnacentral:lncRNA from 1 species